AGCGAACGCUGGCGGCAGGCCUAACACAUGCAAGUCGAACGAAGUCUUCGGACUUAGUGGCGGACGGGUGAGUAACACGUGGGAACGUACCUUUUGGUUCGGAACAACUCAGGGAAACUUGAGCUAAUACCGGAUGAGCCCUUAGGGGGAAAGAUUUAUCGCCGAAAGAGCGGCCCGCGUUAGAUUAGCUAGUUGGUGAGGUAAAGGCUCACCAAGGCUACGAUCUAUAGCUGGUCUGAGAGGAUGAUCAGCCACACUAGGACUGAGACACGGCCCAGACUCCUACGGGAGGCAGCAGUGGGGAAUCUUGCGCAAUGGGCGAAAGCCUGACGCAGCCAUGCCGCGUGAAUGAUGAAGGUCUUAGGAUUGUAAAAUUCUUUUACCAGGGACGAUAAUGACGGUACCUGGAGAAAAGCCCCGGCUAACUUCGUGCCAGCCGCCGCAGUAAAAC
rnacentral:rRNA from 1 species